UACCGGUGACGCCCUCGGGCUUCAAAUCC
rnacentral:tRNA from 12 species